UUAUCCAGAUUUUAAGCAAAUAUUAGUCUUUAUUAAUAUAAAAAAAUCUUUAAUCACAUUAAUUUCUACUUUUUUUAUUUUGUUUUUAUUAAAUAAUUUAAAAAUAUUUCUAUGAAACAAUCAAUUCCAUUUGUAGAAUACUUUUUAAAAUCCUGUUUCAAGUUGGAAUAUACCAAGGCCGAAGGAGAGUCUGAUUUUAUUCAGAACCAAAACAAUGAUAUACUACUACAUAAUUUAGUGUAACGAAAGAAAGAAAAACAUAAAAUGGUAAUGAGUCGUUUAUUAACCUCGAUGAACUUUUUAUUUAGAUUAUCUACGAAAGAACAGACAUUCUAUGAAUUAUUGACAUAGAAAGCCAUUUCGCUGUAAUUGAUUCUGCGUUAUAAUUAUCGAAUAUCGGGGAAUGCGUUGAAUGUGAAACUAUGGUAGGUAGAAUGUGCUUAAGUUUCCAUCGGGAAUCGAUAUCUUCCGUUUCCAUGCUGGGAUCGUGGUGUGUCCAGAUUGAAUCUAAUGAUUCCAGAACAGGUUACGCAGCCACAUUCAAAGGAUCGAAACGAGGAAGACACGGCGUUGCAUUAACUUUUAUCAGUUAUUCCCGUAAAAUUAUCGCAGCCUGUAAUUUCUCAAAACGAGCUUCUACGAUUCUCCAGUCGUUUCAUUGUGAUAGAAAUACUUUGGUUAACCAUAUGACCGUUGACGAUGAAGAAAUCACGAUCUCCGGUGUGUAAAUUAAAUCGAAGAAUGUUCAGAUUGAUGCAGGAAGCGAAGAUUAUUAUAAUCAUCUUGUGCUUCACCGUAUUUUUACGUAUGUUAUUUAAUUUCGAGUUACCAUCAAAAUUUAUAAGGUUUUCCUAGAUCUACAAUACCUAAUGGUAUUAAUCAAUGUUCCAUUUAGAGUGCCUUUUGUACCAUCGAGUUGGUGGAAUUUAUACUAAGGAGACCUUAUUCUGCCACGAUCAAUAAGCAACAUAGCAUAAAUGAAGACAAAUAGUUGUCACGACCGGAGGUUGAAAGUAGAAAACGUAAUACAGAAGCUGGCGCUGCUGAUCGAGAUUCAAGGAUUGAUCCUUUAACGGUCAUGUAUCUAAAUUUUAAUGUUCGGAAUGAAUAAUGGAGAGAUACAAAUAUUUGACAUUCACAUCGAUCAAUAAGAAAAGCAACAACUCCGCACAGCUACCUAACGAACAUGGUGGAUCAGUGAUGCAGUCACCUACUGGGAUGAAGAAACAAUCGUCUCAUUUUCUUUUAAGUGCAGCCAUGAAACGUAUUAUUACACUAAUACAGUGAAACAUGAAUACAAGUUGUUAAUAAACAAACAAUCAUGACCUG